GUCUUUUUGUUAAUUAUUUAAGGUUUGGCCUGCUCCAUGAUUUAAUUAAAUAGCCGCAGUAUUUUGACUGUGCAAAGGUAGCAUAAUCAUUAGUUUUUUAAUUGAAAGCUGGAAUGAAUGGUCGGAUGAGGAAGAAUCUGUCUCACUCUAAUUUGAUUUGAAUUUUAUUUUUAAGUUAAAAGGCUUAAAUUUUAUAGAAAGACGAGAAGACCCUAUAGAGUUUAAUAGGCUAAUAAGUUGAUUGUUAAAAGAUUUUAGUAUAAUUGAUUUAUUGCUUGUUUUGUUGGGGUGACAAAAGAAUUGAAUUAACUUCUGAUAAUUUUUACAUUAAUUAAUGAAUGUGUGAUCCUAAUUUUUGGAUUUAAAGAGAAAAUUACCUUAGGGAUAACAGCGUAAUCUUUUUGGAGAGUUCUAAUCGAUAAAAGGGAUUGCGACCUCGAUGUUGGAUUAAAGUUAAGUUUCGGUGUAGAAGCUGGAAUUUUAAGUCUGUUCGACUUUUAAAACUUUACAUGAUCUGAGUUUAAACCGGCGUGAGCCAGGUUGGUUUCUAUCUUUUAUUAGUAAAAUAUCUUAGUACGAAAGGACCAGAUAUUUAAAUUAUAUUUUUGGUUUGACUAAAAUUGUUAUUUUGGCAGACUAGUGCAAUAGAUUUAGAAUCUUUAUAUGUAAUUUCAUUACAAAUAACAAUUUACUUUUUUGAUUUGAUCUUACUGUUUAUUUCAGCAUUAAUUUUAAUUGUUUGUGUUUUAGUAGGAGUUGCUU
rnacentral:rRNA from 1 species